CUGUGGUACGUGGAUAGCGGUUGUCCCGCUGCCGGGAGUAGUUCGCUGGGUUGGAUUAGUUCGCUGAGAGACGAGGUGUCCAGCAUUGUGUGAGAUCACCGUGCACCAUCCAAAGCUCCAUCCCAGUUCACCUUCCCCAGUGGAGUGUCACCUGUGUUAAUGCCCCCGACAACCCCUGAAGUAGGGACUCACUUGAUUUGUGAGGAAGUAUAUGCAGAGAAAAGUGACGUGAACUUGUCCCAGAACUCAAGAGUCAUAAAACAGUAGAGUGGAGAUUCCAACUCCAGGCACUCUCUGACUCCACCACAACCUACUGCUGGCUCUAUCCAUUAGUGUUGGCGACAGGUCAAUCAGGAACAACCAUGUCAUCAGAAUCAAGCUAAAAACGGAAGCCCAAAGUGAUCCGAGGUGAACGGGCUCCAGUUGAAGGAAAGCGGAAUCGAUCUGACACUGAGCAGGGUCUAAGCUACCCAGUCUGCUCUCCAACUUGUGA